AGUUGUACGUUUGAUGGCACCCGGGUCACAUCGCGUCAGUUCGGGUACUCUAGCUUGCAAUAGUUAUGUUUUGAUAGCAGUAGAGUUAGGCUGUAGAUAGCCUCAAUCACUUGAUCGUUCUUAUUUAUUUCGAAUAAUAUGAUUAAACUUCCAUUAUCAUCUUUCAAGAGUAUUUGCUGUGGUUUUUAUUCGCUAUAGUUUGAGUUUAUUGAUUACAAGUUGAGGGAUUAGUCUAAUUUUUGCAAUUAUAAUUUUUUAGAUGAUAUCAAUAACUUUUAACAGGGUGCAUCAUACGAAAAGUGAUUCUGAGCUCUUACAGUAUCAAUAACUAGAAAUUAUACAAGAUCAAUAGAUCAAUUACAAUUGAUUAUAUAGUGGUGUGUCUGGUGGAUAAAUUGGUAUUUUGACGCGGGGAUGAAAACGUCCUCUUGUUGGAAAUAUCUUUUCAGGAUACUCGAAUGGAUAACUCUCUCUAAUCAUUUAAUUAAAGAAACCAAAAGACUGUUGCUAAGAAGCGGUCACUUGGAUGGAGAGUGUCAGGAUCAAUUAGGACAUCAGCUGUAAGAAACAAUUAAUUUUAUUCAUUGUGAGUGGAAUACUGAUAAUGAAUCAAUGUUGGUGGACAUAAGUGAUAUUUUACACUAUAAUGAUAUCAUAAGAGUCUUAAAUAUUUAUUGGAUCGUAAAAAUUAUCUCACAAAUUUCAAUCAAUGUUCCAUAAUCUUGUUAAUAAAAUUUUUUUUGUAAAUAAG